AUGGUCUUGUCUGGUCGGACCGCAGUUAACAUCAACGGGGAGAUCGGCCCCUACUUCCCCACUUUCUGUGGGGUUAGACAGGGCGACCCCUUCUCCCCGUUCCUGUUCAACAUGGUGGUCGACGCCCUUGCCGCCAUCCUCGAUAAGGCUAAGGCGGUCGGCCAUAUUCGUGGGAUUGUCCCUCAUUUGGUGGGAGGGGGAGGGGUCUUCCUCCUGCAAUACACUGAUGACACCAUCAUCAUGGUAGAGGGCUCUGAGGGUGACAUUGCCAAUCUUAAGUUCCUCCUCCUGUGCUUCCAACAGAUGUCUGGGCUUAAAAUCAACUUCGAAAAGAGUGAAGUUAUGAUCCUUGGAUAUUCUCCUAAGGAGUCCCAGAUCAUUGCGGACCGCCUCAACUACUAGCUAGGAUCAUUCCCCACGACUUACCUGGGGGUUCCCAUUAGUGAUUCGCGACUCUCCGUCGUGGAGCUGCGGCCUACGGUGACUAAACUC
rnacentral:rRNA from 1 species